rnacentral:lncRNA from 1 species
AGGUAGGGUUAAUAUUCGGUGAUCAAUAGCUCUUUUUGGAGGUAAUUUCUUCGGUGUCUCAAAUAUCUCCGCAUAAUACUUGAGCAGGGAUCGGAUCAUAGAUAUUUCCUCCUCAUCUCCUUUUAAUCUUGUCCCCAGUUCAUAUUCAUUCUCUACUUCCAUCUCAUAAUUCUGGAAUUCUAAGAGGAAGCCUUGGUCUUCUAUAUGUAAGGAUUCAACUUGCUUACUUCACUAUUUCUCCCUUACAAUGGCCAAAAACAGAGGUAGCCCUCUGCUAUCUUUAUUUAUAUAUAGCCAAAAUGAGUACAGAAAAACAUAAAGAUUCAAGAAAAACAAGGAAUAAUAAAGACAAACCCAGCUUCCUCUAGGGAAAGACUGGAUAUUCCUCUAGGCUAAGCAGCCGCCAACUUCAGGAUAAAAAUAAAACCUACCUCCCCUAGACCUAAAAAACCUAUUUAUAUUCCUUCUCUCAUCUUUCUCUUAUUUCUGUGCCUGGGCCCCACCUGCACGAUCUCCUCCUCUUUUUCCUUCCUCAUUAUUAAUUUGUCCAAUUACUUUUCUGCC